rnacentral:rRNA from 1 species
CGGCAACAGCUCAAAUUUGAAAUCUGGCCUUGUGCCCGAGUUGUAAUUUGAAGAGGAUGCUUUUGGUGAGGUGCCUUCUGAGUUCCCUGGAACGGGACGCCAGAGAGGGUGAGAGCCCCGUAUAGUUGGACACCAGGCCUCUGUAAAGCUCCUUCGAC